CUUUUUCAAUCAAUCAGCAUCAACAUCACUUCACCUGCAAAAACCAAUUCAAAAUCAAAAAACAGCUUAUUCAAAAAGCACUUUUCAAAAGCGCUUAAAAAACUGAAAAAUAACUAAACAAAUUACUCAGUUUGAAGCUUUGUCCAUAAGGUUAACAUAAACAUCCAAAAAGCACUUUUGGCAUUAGCUUAAAACAGAAUAAACCAAAUCCCACAUAAUCUAGGAUGGAAAAUUCAAAAAGCAAGGAGUUUCUUAAAGACCGAAUCUGAUCUUCAAAAACGAAAGAGGGGAGAUUAACAGCAAGAACAACAACAAUAACAGGAACGAUAUUUUUUCUCAAAAGAACCUAAUCAAGGACAACAACAACAUAAACAUGGCCAAGCAAUUCUUCAAAAAAACCUAAAACCAAAACGAAUACAGCAAGACAUCAACAAUACAACAUUAAAACAAACAGAAACCAAAUUGAAACGACGCUACCGGAAACGCAACCCCCAACCGCCGCCGUCACAACCGUCUCACCACCAUCAACCCUCACUAACCUCAAUCGCAACGGUAACAGAAACAAAGGAAAAGAGAAGAAGGAUUUGGCGAGCACCGUCGCGAAACACAAGAGGAAGGAGAUUGUAUUGACGUCGCGAUUUAACGUCAUCUAUCUUUGUUUAUACAACUGCGUGAUUCGAGCAAGCAAGGCGAUUAUCUGUGAAUCGGAGAGUGUGUCGUUGACGAGCGCCGGCGUGAAGGGAGCACAUCCGUAACGGAGGUGCUGGCUUGCGAUGAUGGUGAAUCAGGAUUACGUUAGCAUCUGAGAACGGCGAAGUGAUGAGGCGCGGUGAAGAUGCUGAGGCGAAGGUUAUUGAUUUUGACUGUUUUUUCAUAAUCGCUUUUUUCUUCUCCCUAUUUCAGCUUGUGUGGUGAAUGUUGAUGUUAACCUCUUUGAAGCAUUGGGCCUCAGGCCCAAAACAGGCUCUCUACA
rnacentral:lncRNA from 1 species